UACGAAGGGGGCUAGCGUUGUUCGGAUUUACUGGGCGUAAAGCGCACGUAGGCGGGUCGUUAAGUCGGGGGUGAAAUCCUGGAGCUCAACUCCAGAACUGCCUUCGAUACUGGCGACCUAGAGUCCGGAAGAGGUGAGUGGAACUCCUAGUGUAGAGGUGGAAUUCGUAGAUAUUGAGGAAGACACCGUGGCGAAAGCGGCUCCUGG
rnacentral:rRNA from 1 species